rnacentral:lncRNA from 1 species
UUGUUUUUACUUUCCUAAAAGAAGAUGGGGAUCAAACGUUCUAUCCUCCUCAUCUCCAUCUUCUCCCUCGCGGCUAUCUCAGCUUGUGCUAGACCUCCUUCAGACAUUACUGAUACGCCCGAGUCACCCGAUUCCACACCCGAAUCACCUGAUUCCACACCCGAAUCACCUGAUUCCACACCCGAGGCACCUGAUGAUGACUAUUCACCUAAUGCACCAGAUGAAGCAGCAGACGGUUAUGCACCUCCACCUGAAGCACCAACCCCAUCUGCAACCUUUACAAUAUUGCCAGGCGGUAGUUACCCUGAGCUCGAUCAAA